GUCAUAGAGGGUGAGAAUCCCGUAUAUGGCAUGGACUACCGAUGCUUUUGUGAUACACUCUCAACGAGUCGAGUUGUUUGGGAAUGCAGCUCAAAAUGGGUGGUAAAUUCCAUCUAAAGCUAAAUAUUGGCGAGAGACCGAUAGCGAACAAGUACCGUGAGGGAAAGAUGAAAAGCACUUUGGAAAGAGAGUGAAACAGUACGUGAAAUUGUUGNAAGGGAAGCGUUUGAAGUCAGUCGUAUCUGGCGGGAUUCAGCCGGGCUUUUGCCAGGUGUACU
rnacentral:rRNA from 1 species